rnacentral:rRNA from 1 species
GGGGAAUAUUGGGCAAUGGACGAAAGUCUGACCCAGCGACGCCGCGUGAGGGAAGAAGGUCUUCGGAUUGUAAACCUUAGUCAACAGGGAAGAAGAAAGUGACGGUACCUGUGGAGGAAGCCACGGCUAACUACGUGCCAGCAGCCGCGGUAAUACGUAGGGAGCAAGCGUUAUCCGGAUUUACUGGGUGUAAAGGGCGUGUAGGCGGGACUGCAAGUCAGAUGUGAAAACUAUGGGCUCAACUCAUAGCCUGCAUUUGAAACUGUAGUUCUUGAGUGCUGGAGAGGCAAAUGGAACUCCUAGUGUAGCGGUGAAAUGCGUAGAUAUUAGGAAGAACACCAGUGGCGAAGGCGAUUUGCUGGACAGUAACUGACGCUGAGGCGCGAAAGUGUGGGGAGCAAACAGGAUUAGAUACCCUGGUAGUCCACACCGUAAACGAUGGAUACUAGGUGUGGGGGGUCUAACCCCCUCCGUGCCGCAGUUAACACAUUAAGUAUCCCACCUGGGGAGUACGAUCGCAAGGUUGAAACUCAAAGGAAUUGACGGGGGCCCGCACAAGCAGUGGAUUAUGUGGUUUAAUUCGAAGCAACGCGAAGAACCUUACCAGGGCUUGACAUCCCACUAACGAAGUAGAGAUACAUUAGGUGCCCUUCGGGGAAAGUGGAGACAGGUGGUGCAUGGUUGUCGUCAGCUCGUGUCGUGAGAUGUUGGGUUAAGUCCCGCAACGAGCGCAACCCCUAUUGUUAGUUGCUACGCAAGAGCACUCUAGCGAGACUGCCGUUGACAAAACGGAGGAAGGCGGGGACGACGUCAAAUCAUCAUGCCCCUUAUGUCCUGGGCUACACACGUAAUACAAUGGUCGUCAACAAAGGGAAGCAAAACCGCGAGGUGGAGCAAAUCCCCAAAAGCGAUCUCAGUUCGGAUUGCAGGCUGCAACUCGCCUGUAUGAAGUCGGAAUUGCUAGUAAUCGCGGAUCAGCAUGCCGCGGUGAAUACGUUCCCG